UACGGAGGGGGCUAGCGUUGUUCGGAAUUACUGGGCGUAAAGGGCGCGUAGGCGGUUUGUUAAGUCAGGCGUGAAAGCCCUGGGCUCAACCUGGGAGGUGCGUUUGAUACUGGCAAGCUUGAGUGCAGGAGAGGAUGGUGGAAUUCCCAGUGUAGAGGUGAAAUUCGUAGAUAUUGGGAAGAACACCGAUGGCGAAGGCAGCCUCCUGGGCCGACACUGACGCUCAUGCACGAAAGCGUGGGGAGCAAACAGG
rnacentral:rRNA from 1 species